GCCGGAUUGUUCCCCGCGGGCUCCUCCCCGCCCAGCAGCCGCCGAGUCAGCGCCAGGAAGGGAAACACCCGGGUGCUGCUGCAGGGGGCGGCCAAGGCAGAGCCCGGCCGGCCUCCCUCCGCUUCCCCGGGGCGGCUAAUGCGGCCGGGUCCUUCCUGGGCGGAGCCUGGCGCCUGAUGUGGGGCGGGGCGGGCCCCUGGGGGCGGGGCUUCUGCCUCGCUUGGUUUUUAAUUUCCCUCCCGAGAGCGCGAUUGGCUCCCGGUUCCCCAAUCGGCUUUAAAAAAAAAAAAAGCUGUAAAGGCUCGUUACUGCGCCUGCGCGGGUUUUGGUUUCGCUUUGGGGAUUCCCCGGCUGCUGCUGCUGCUGCAGCGCCGCCUGGCUCGGGUGCAGGGGCCUUGACUUGCUCGCGUGCUUGGGGUGCUGGUACAUCAUCCCCACCGCCAGCCUGCCCCUACGUUCCUGACCUCAGGAAAGUGGAACUACCCCUGUUCCACUGCCCGGAGGGAGCCAUGGCUGCUGAGAGCACCCUGGAAAGUCUCCAAGAGGAAGAGACGUGUCCCGUCUGUCUGGAGUAUUUCACAGACCCUGUCACUCUGGAAUGUGGGCACAAUUUCUGCUGAGCCUGCAUCACCCAGUGCUGGGAAGGAUCUGACACAGCCGCCUCCUGCCCUCAGUGCAGAGAAAUUGUGCAACAGAGAAAUCUCAGGCCUAACAGGCAGCUGGCAAACAUGGUAGUUCCCCCUGCCAUUAGCUAUUCUGAACCCCACUCUGUGACACCCCCCCAGCAGCACCCUGUGCCCCGCUCUGUCCUACCCUGGCUGCGUGCUGCUGGAUGUUCUGGCACCACAGUGGUCUCUGGUGGGUGAAAGAUGGAACAACAUCACUUCUCUGGCAGAAUGUAGUUUCUGUGGGGGGAAAAAAUUCUGCAGCCGGAAAUGAAUUCUGUGUUUCCGCAGUAGCUCAGAAUUCCCCUGGGAGUAUAUAUUGCAAUGAUGAAUGUCACUGCAUCUAAAUUUUAGCUGUCUAGACAUUUACUGGAAUAACACUGUGAGCCACAGAGCCUGAGUUAUGGGGAGAUGUAAGUGUCUUAGAAUGGGAUCCACAAAAGCCAGCCUACUAGAUAGGAAACUGCCUAACCUAACUGAUGGGAGAUGCUGAUCAGAGGUGCAUUGUACAGAGGGGUCUAGGGACCUAACUCAGCUUUGUGGAUUGCAGGGCUGUUCCUAUGACUCUCUAGUGCCUAUUGUCUCUUGAUAAAUUUUGUUCCUGAUAUAAAAUCCCCAAAAUACAGAAAAAACAAAAGCAACUUUUCUCUUCUUAGGAUCCAAUUUGGAGAGUUUGAAAAGGGAGGGAGAUGAGAAUGGUGUUUAACUAGAGUGGCAAGAAGGAAUAUCCAGAAAUUGCUGG